ACGAUGUUUUGAUGUGUUCCAGAUGAAUCCCGGGGCCGCGCGCAGCUGGGACCCACUGGCUUUCAUCGCUGAUGCCGAGAUGCAUUCGUUACUUGCUGACCCUGGAUUUUUGUGCUGCCCUCAGUGUGGCCGAGGCAGCGUUACCAGUGAGGCCGUGGGCGCCGAGCUUUCUCCGCCCCCUUGAAGCCGAGGCACCUUAUUCUUACAUCCUGCGCUCCCUUUGCCGCCUUGAUCUGUCCUGGACCGAGAAAAAUGCAUGACCAUUUCCUGCCCUAACGUGUCCUGUUUCUGCCAAUCCUCUCUGAGCUCCUGCUCUGGGAGGGACGCCGCAGGGCGAUGCAGUGAUGUCCAGAAUUGCAGACUUUUUCGUGGACGGCACCCUUUGCCCUGAUAACGUGUCUUUUAUUUUGUAUCAUUUCUCUUGUAUCCAGAUAAGCC
rnacentral:lncRNA from 1 species